rnacentral:rRNA from 1 species
GACGAACGCUGGCGGCGUGCUUAACACAUGCAAGUCGAACGGAAAGGCCCUGCUUUUGUGGGGUGCUCGAGUGGCGAACGGGUGAGUAACACGUGAGUAACCUGCCCUUGACUUUGGGAUAACUUCAGGAAACUGGGGCUAAUACCGGAUAGGAGCUCCUGCUGCAUGGUGGGGGUUGGAAAGUUUCGGCGGUUGGGGAUGGACUCGCGGCUUAUCAGCUUGUUGGUGGGGUAGUGGCUUACCAAGGCUUUGACGGGUAGCCGGCCUGAGAGGGUGACCGGCCAAAAUGGGACUGAGGAACGGGCCAGACUUCUAAGGGAGGCAGGAGGGGGGAAUAUUGCACAAUGGGCGGAAGCCUGAUGCAGCAACGCCGCGUGCGGGAUGACGGCCUUCGGGUUGUAAACCGCUUUCGCCUGUGACGAAGCGUGAGUGACGGUAAUGGGUAAAGAAGCACCGGCUAACUACGUG